rnacentral:rRNA from 1 species
GACGAACGCUAGCGGCGUGCUUAACACAUGCAAGUCGAACGGAAAGGCCCUGCUUUUGUGGGGUGCUCGAGUGGCGAACGGGUGAGUAACAAGUGAGUAACCUGCCCUUGACUUUGGGAUAACUUCAGGAAACUGGGGCUAAUACCGGAUAGGAGCUCCUGCUGCAUGGUGGGGGUUGGAAAGUUUCGGCGGUUGGGGAUGGACUCGCGGCUUAUCAGCUUGUUGGUGGGGUAGUGGCUUACCAAGGCUUUGACGGGUAGCCGGCCUGAGAGGGUGACCGGCCACAUUGGGACUGAGAUACGGCCCAGACUCCUACGGGAGGCAGCAGUGGGGAAUAUUGCACAAUGGGCGGAAGCCUGAUGCAGCAACGCCGCGUGCGGGAUGACGGCCUUCGGGUUGUAAACCGCUUUCGCCUGUGACGAAGCGUGAGUGACGGUAAUGGGUAAAGAAGCACCGGCUAACUACGUG